CGCUUAGGCGUGUGACUGCGUACCUUUUGUAUAAUGGGUCAGCGACUUAUAUUCUGUAGCAAGGUUAACCGAAUAGGGGAGCCGAAGGGAAACCGAGUCUUAACUGGGCGUUAAGUUGCAGGGUAUAGACCCGAAACCCGGUGAUCUAGCCAUGGGCAGGUUGAAGGUUGGGUAACACUAACUGGAGGACCGAACCGACUAAUGUUGAAAAAUUAGCGGAUGACUUGUGGCUGGGGGUGAAAGGCCAAUCAAACCGGGAGAUAGCUGGUUCUCCCCGAAAGCUAUUUAGGUAGCGCCUCGUGAAUUCAUCUCCGGGGGUAGAGCACUGUUUCGGCAAGGGGGUCAUCCCGACUUACCAACCCGAUGCAAACUGCGAAUACCGGAGAAUGUUAUCACGGGAGACACACGGCGGGUGCUAACGUCCGUCGUGAAGAGGGAAACAACCCAGACCGCCAGCUAAGGUCCCAAAGUCAUGGUUAAGUGGGAAACGAUGUGGGAAGGCCCAGACAGCCAGGAUGUUGGCUUAGAAGCAGCCAUCAUUUAAAGAAAGCGUAAUAGCUCACUGGUCGAGUCGGCCUGCGCGGAAGAUGUAACGGGGCUAAACCAUGCACCGAAGCUGCGGCAGCGACGCUUAUGCGUUGUUGGGUAGGGGAGCGUUCUGUAAGCCUGUGAAGGUGUGCUGUGAGGCAUGCUGGAGGUAUCAGAAGUGCGAAUGCUGACAUAAGUAACGAUAAAGCGGGUGAAAAGCCCGCUCGCCGGAAGACCAAGGGUUCCUGUCCAACGUUAAUCGGGGCAGGGUGAGUCGACCCCUAAGGCGAGGCCGAAAGGCGUAGUCGAUGGGAAACAGGUUAAUAUUCCUGUACUUGGUGUUACUGCGAAGGGGGGACGGAGAAGGCUAUGUUGGCCGGGCGACGGUUGUCCCGGUUUAAGCGUGUAGGCUGGUUUUCCAGGCAAAUCCGGAAAAUCAAGGCUGAGGCGUGAUGACGAGGCACUACGGUGCUGAAGCAACAAAUGCCCUGCUUCCAGGAAAAGCCUCUAAGCAUCAGGUAACAUCAAAUCGUACCCCAAACCGACACAGGUGGUCAGGUAGAGAAUACCAAGGCGCUUGAGAGAACUCGGGUGAAGGAACUAGGCAAAAUGGUGCCGUAACUUCGGGAGAAGGCACGCUGAUAUGUAGGUGAAGUCCCUCGCGGAUGGAGCUGAAAUCAGUCGAAGAUACCAGCUGGCUGCAACUGUUUAUUAAAAACACAGCACUGUGCAAACACGAAAGUGGACGUAUACGGUGUGACGCCUGCCCGGUGCCGGAAGGUUAAUUGAUGGGGUCAGCGCAAGCGAAGCUCUUGAUCGAAGCCCCGGUAAACGGCGGCCGUAACUAUAACGGUCCUAAGGUAGCGAAAUUCCUUGUCGGGUAAGUUCCGACCUGCACGAAUGGCGUAAUGAUGGCCAGGCUGUCUCCACCCGAGACUCAGUGAAAUUGAACUCGCUGUGAAGAUGCAGUGUACCCGCGGCAAGACGGAAAGACCCCGUGAACCUUUACUAUAGCUUGACACUGAACAUUGAGCCUUGAUGUGUAGGAUAGGUGGGAGGCUUAGAAGUGUGGACGCCAGUCUGCAUGGAGCCGACCUUGAAAUACCACCCUUUAAUGUUUGAUGUUCUAACGUUGACCCGUAAUCCGGGUUGCGGACAGUGUCUGGUGGGUAGUUUGACUGGGGCGGUCUCCUCCUAAAGAGUAACGGAGGAGCACGAAGGUUGGCUAAUCCUGGUCGGACAUCAGGAGGUUAGUGCAAUGGCAUAAGCCAGCUUGACUGCGAGCGUGACGGCGCGAGCAGGUGCGAAAGCAGGUCAUAGUGAUCCGGUGGUUCUGAAUGGAAGGGCCAUCGCUCAACGGAUAAAAGGUACUCCGGGGAUAACAGGCUGAUACCGCCCAAGAGUUCAUAUCGACGGCGGUGUUUGGCACCUCGAUGUCGGCUCAUCACAUCCUGGGGCUGAAGUAGGUCCCAAGGGUAUGGCUGUUCGCCAUUUAAAGUGGUACGCGAGCUGGGUUUAGAACGUCGUGAGACAGUUCGGUCCCUAUCUGCCGUGGGCGCUGGAGAACUGAGGGGGGCUGCUCCUAGUACGAGAGGACCGGAGU
rnacentral:rRNA from 1 species